rnacentral:lncRNA from 13 species
AUUGAUUUAGUCAUUGCGUGCUAGGAAUAUGGGACCAAAUACUAAACUUGUGACUACUUUCGUGGGGGGCGACUAGAUCUAUAAAGUACUUUAAUUUCUAAAUGGCAAGUCAGAUAGGUAGGAAAAUACCCUCAAAUAAAAGGUGACAUUCUAUACUCCCUCAUGCGAAACAUCUCAAAUCCAAAAUGCUGGAGUAUACAGUAGAGCCACAUAAAAAUGUUUGCAUCACUGUUUACAUGCACUGGUCAGCUGUUUGUUCACCCGCACCUGCCCUCAAUUAAUAAUCCAUCUGCAACCCUAGCACAACUAUGUGAUAAAGUGAAAAUCUGAGGCCCGCACCCGAACCUAACCCGCUAAUAUAGAAAAUUUGCUGUAGACUACAGUCAAAGACGGCAGAAUUAUUUAUUUUUUGUAUCUUUUUGCCUGAUUUUAGAUAUGUUUUUACGUAUAAUUUCUGAUGUUUUGGUAGGCGAUUUGUCUGUCAACUUGUCUAUAAUUAGAUACAUGCAGCUUCUCCAUUGUCAUUAUGUUGCCCUCUGAGACUAAAUAAACCCUUGCUCAGCAGAAUUUAAAAAGUCGCUAGAAUGAAUACAAUCUCAUUGACAUCUGUAACGUUUUCUCUGUUGUCUCUGCUUCCUUCACGGCUGUAAGAUUAUUUGGGACUGGGGUGAAAAUGCAACAACUCCCCAAAACAAGAACAUUUCCAAAUUAAAUCAGUUUGACCAGAGGGUCUGCAUCCUGGGCCCAUAGGCAAAAUGACCAUCACCAAGCCCACCCAAAAGCGCAUGGCAGAAGGAGGGAUUAGAAGUAAACUCUACAGCGCCCUUCUUGGAAUGCUCCAUGACCUCUCAGUUCUCCAGAUAGAAGAGGCAUACAAGAACUUUGACCCUCUAUCUGCUGCUUUUAGUCGACUCCCACUUUGGAAAGGUACAGGUGGGGAGCCUCCUGUCUUAACAGCUGCCUCCAAUCACAACGCAACACAUAAUUCACCAUAAGGUGACACCACCAUUCCCUUCACUGCCCCUGGAUGGCUACAGACUGGAGAGCAACUUUCAAGGCUGCACAUUUGUGCUCAGUGAAGAAGACCAGAUUCACAUUGUCUCUUCAGGUGAGAGAGACACAGUGGUGUUCUCACUAAUUAGAGAGAAAGGGGAUGUCACGACUCCCACCGAAGGUGGCUCCCCUGCCUGUUCGGGCGGCGCUCGGCGGUCGUCGUCGCCGGUCUACUAGCCGCCACCGAUCCCCUCUUCCUUUUCUGUUUGUUUGGUCUUAUGGGUUGCACCUGUCUUAUUUUGUUUCUUGAUUUAUGUCUAUUUAAGCCUUUUAGGCCAGCCUAUUUUUGUGCAGGAUUGUUUUUCUGUUAGUCAGGUUGUGUGUGUUGUGUUCCUGCCCGUUUGUGCCCUGUGUUGGGUUGGGCUAUUUUUUGUUGAUUUUUCGCCUGUUGUUUUGGGCGCUCGUUUUGGGAAUCGUAAUAAAGUCGGUUUCCCCAGUAUCCUCUGCUCUCUGCAUUUGACUCUGCACCCAUCAAUCCAGGCGUUUGUGACAGGUGAUUGGUACUACAUAUGUGUACAUGCAAAAGUUCUUAGGCAGGAAAUACUAAAUAACUACGGAGAGGCUCCUUUAUCUUUCAAUCAAUGAACAAACCAACAAAUCUGUCUGUGCAAUUAAUUAAUGAUUCAGUAAACAUUUUCUGUUCUCUUGUCACUGUAAAAAAAACUCUUCACAACAUUUUGUGACGUCUGCUUCCAACUCACACCCUCAAACACAUGGAUCCCCUGAACGCAGCUCAAUCUCCAGAUCCCAAUCAUCUGAUUUCUAAUCACCUGUUCACACACCUGUAUGUCAUUAUUACACACUAUUUAGUUCAGUUCUUUGCACCCCAUCACUGUGAGGUAUUGUUUGUUUUGUGACACACGGUUUCAGAGUUCUGGGUUUCCCAUGAUUUACUCCUCCUGUGUAUGAUACUUUUUUCCUGCCUCACUAACGAUGCCUUUGCCUAUUGCCUGUCUGUACUUUAGCCUAUCGGAUUUCCUGUUAUCUACCCAUUGCCUGAUUUCCCAGAUUACGUUACUAGCCUUCUCCCUGCCUGUACUGUUGCCCUUUUUGACCCCCUGUGUUUGACCUUCUGCCUGCCCCUGGACCCAGCUACCUGCCUCCUGUGGUCCUUUGCAAUAAACACCUGCUGCGCCCUGCGCUUGAAACCAGCUCUCUGUCCCCCCCUGUGUUCAUUACACAUUUUGUGUUUGGAGUUUAAGUAGUGGUGUUUAUUAUCAAUACAUGGACUACAGGGUGUUAGACAAUGUGGAUGGUCACAGCAAAGAAAGGAAAGACGCAUUGCAGUAGAAGCUCAUUGCUCCUUGGCCCAUGCCUUCAUAAAAGGCUCACACUGGUAGUUUUUUGAGAAGGCAAGCCACAGUCAAGAUGGAGUUGAUGCUUCCAUCAGUGACAUGAGGAUCUCUCGGACAUGGAAGUUAUUCCACUGGAAUGGCAAAGGUACUGCUCCAUUCAUCAGACGUCAAAGCCCACUAGAAGGUUCAAUUAAAUCUUCGUAAUUUCCUAACUUUCAAUAAAGAUGCCGCACCUACUUACAACGUUAAUGUCGUUAGCACCAACGUUAGCUAGGUACUGGUAGCUAACGUUUCCUAACUAAAGAGACAAAUACACAAUCGAAUCACUAAGUGAACUGAAAAACAGAAUUUAACAAGAAUGAUAUAAAAACGCUAUUGAAAUAUGAUUAUAUUAAUAUACUGUGGUAAUGAUAAAAUGAGUGACACAUCGUCGGCCCUGAAAUAACUAAAUUUGACUAUGUAAACUGGAAACCACAUAUCCUGAGGCUGCAUUCAUUGUAGCUGGGGAUUUUAACAAGGCUAAUCUGAAAACAAGGCUCCCUAAAUUUUUUCAGCAUAUCGAAUGCGCAACCCGGGCUGGCAAAACCCUGGAUCAUUGUUAUUCUAACUUUUCGAUACAUAUAAAACCCUCCUCUGCCCUCCUUUCGGAAAAUCUGAACACGACUCCAUUUUGUUGCUCCCAGCCUAUAGACAGA